rnacentral:sRNA from 1 species
ACUUAUAGAAUUUGUUGACAAAAAAAUUAACAAUAUUAAACGAAAAUGACAGGAUAAUCUGUAUCCAGAAAGAUGAUGUGUAUACAUAACUGCGUCAAGACGGAUAUUGUAUGAAUAUAUGUA